UACGUAGGGGGCAAGCGUUAUCCGGAUUCACUGGGCGUAAAGGGAGCGCAGGCGGCACGGCAAGUCUGGUGUGAAAACCCGGGGCUCAACCCCGGGACUGCAUUGGAAACUGCCGGGCUGGAGUGUCGGAGGGGUAAGCGGAAUUCCUAGUGUAGCGGUGAAAUGCGCAGAUAUUAGGAGGAACACCAGUGGCGAAGGCGGCUUACUGGACGAUGACUGACGCUGAGGCUCGAAAGCGUGGGGAGCAAACAGG
rnacentral:rRNA from 1 species